rnacentral:rRNA from 1 species
AGAGUUUGAUCCUGGCUCAGGAUGAACGCUAGCUACAGGCUUAACACAUGCAAGUCGAGGGGCAUCAGUUUGGUUUGCUUGCAAACCAAAGCUGGCGACCGGCGCACGGGUGAGUAACACGUAUCCAACCUGCCUCAUACUCGGGGAUAGCCUUUCGAAAGAAAGAUUAAUAUCCGAUAGCAUAUAUUUCCCGCAUGGGUUUUAUAUUAAAGAAAUUCGGUAUGAGAUGGGGAUGCGUUCCAUUAGUUUGUUGGGGGGGUAACGGCCCACCAAGACUACGAUGGAUAGGGGUUCUGAGAGGAAGGUCCCCCACAUUGGAACUGAGACACGGUCCAAACUCCUGCGGGAGGCAGCAGUGAGGAAUAUUGGUCAAUGGACGCGAGUCUGAACCAGCCAAGUAGCGUGAAGGAUGACUGCCCUAUGGGUUGUAAACUUCUUUUAUAUGGGAAUAAAGUUGUCCACGUGUGGAUUUUUGUAUGUACCAUAUGAAUAAGGAUCGGCUAACUCCGUGCCAGCAGCCGCGGUAAUACGGAGGAUCCGAGCGUUAUCCGGAUUUAUUGGGUUUAAAGGGAGCGUAGGCGGAUUGUUAAGUCAGUUGUGAAAGUUUGCGGCUCAACCGUAAAAUUGCAGUUGAUACUGGUUUCCUUGAGUGCAGUUGAGGCAGGCGGAAUUCGUGGUGUAGCGGUGAAAUGCUUAGAUAUCACGAAGAACCCCGAUUGCGAAGGCAGCUUGCUAAACUGUAACUGACGUUCAUGCUCGAAAGUGUGGGUAUCAAACAGGAUUAGAUACCCUGGUAGUCCACACGGUAAACGAUGGAUACUCGCUGUUGGCGAUAUACUGUCAGCGGCUUAGCGAAAGCGUUAAGUAUCCCACCUGGGGAGUACGCCGGCAACGGUGAAACUCAAAGGACAUUGACGGAAGGGCGA